UAUGUGUUCAGCUCUCAGAAU
ensembl:piRNA 21ur-286 ncRNA